rnacentral:rRNA from 1 species
GAUGAGGCGGCACCGUUACGGNGACCGUCACACCAUCGGCAUGCUGCCCAGAUGGGAUUAGCUAGUAGGUGAGGUAAUGGCUCACCUAGGCGACGAUCCCUAGNUGGUCUGAGAGGAUGACCAGCCACACUGGAACUGAGACACGGUCCAGACUCCUACGGGAGGCAGCAGUGGGGAAUAUUGCACAAUGGGCGCAAGCCUGAUGCAGCCAUGCCGCGUGUGUGAAGAAGGCCUUCGGGUUGUAAAGCACUUUCAGCGAGGAGGAAGGGUUCGGUGUUAAUAGCACCGUUCAUUGACGUUACUCGCAGAAGAAGCACCGGCUAACUCCGUGCCAGCAGCCGCGGUAAUACGGAGGGUGCAAGCGUUAAUCGGAAUUACUGGGCGUAAAGCGCACGCAGGCGGUUUGUUAAGUCAGAUGUGAAAUCCCCGAGCUUAACUUGGGAACUGCAUUUGAAACUGGCAAGCUAGAGUCUUGUAGAGGGGGGUAGAAUUCCAGGUGUAGCGGUGAAAUGCGUANAGAUCUGGAGGAAUACCGGUGGCGAANGCGGCCCCCUGGACAAAGACUGACGCUCAGGUGCGAAAAGCGUGGGGAGCAAACAGG